rnacentral:rRNA from 1 species
AGAGUUUGAUCCUGGCUCAGAUUGAACGCUGGCGGCAUGCCUAACACAUGCAAGUCGAACGGAAACGAUGCUAGCUUGCUAGCAGGCGUCGAGUGGCGGACGGGUGAGUAAUGUAUAGGGAUCUGCCUAGUAGUGGGGGACAACAUGUGGAAACGCAUGCUAAUACCGCAUACGCUCUACGGAGGAAAGUGGGGGACCUUUCGGGGCCUCAUGCUACUAGAUGAACCUAUAUUGGAUUAGCUUGUUGGUAAGGUAAUGGCUUACCAAGGCGACGAUCCAUAGCUGGUUUGAGAGAAUGAUCAGCCACACUGGGACUGAGACACGGCCCAGACUCCUACGGGAGGCAGCAGUGGGGAAUAUUGCACAAUGGAGGAAACUCUGAUGCAGCAAUGCCGCGUGUGUGAAGAAGGCCUUAGGGUUGUAAAGCACUUUCAGACGUGAGGAAAAGUAAUAAUUUAAUAAAUUAUUGCCUUGACGUUAACGUCAGAAGAAGGACCGGCUAACUCCGUGCCAGCAGCCGCGGUAAUACGGAGGGUCCAAGCGUUAAUCGGAAUUACUGGGCGUAAAGCGCGCGUAGGCGGAUAUUUAAGUCAGAUGUGAAAUCCCUGGGCUCAACCUAGGAACUGCAUUUGAUACUGGAUAUCUAGAGUAUGGUAGAGGUGAGUGGAAUUUCAGGUGUAGCGGUGAAAUGCGUAGAGAUCUGAAGGAACAUCAGUGGCGAAGGCGACUCACUGGGCCAUUACUGACGCUGAGGUGCGAAAGCGUGGGUAGCAAACAGGAUUAGAUACCCUGGUAGUCCACGCCCUAAACGAUGUCAACUAGGUGUAUGGGAGUUUAACUCCUGUGUAUCGAAGCUAACGCGAUAAGUUGACCGCCUGGGGAGUACGGUCGCAAGACUAAAACUCAAAUGAAUUGACGGGGCCCGCACAAGCGGUGGAGCAUGUGGUUUAAUUCGAUGCAACGCGAAGACCUUACCUGGUC